AUGAAAGAACGCUAUGAGGCCGAGCUGAGUAAAAGGGAUGCUCAAACUGCUGAUCUUCAAGAGAACGUAAAGUCUCAACAAGCAGAAGCUUCCAAAGCCAAAGAGGAGCUGACCAAUGCCCUGGCAGCUAUGGAGAAGUUGAAAGAGACUUUCAACAAGGAGCGUGCUGACUGGGAAACAGAAAAAGCCGGUUUGAUAAAAAAGGCCGAGGACGCAGAUGCAGCCCUAAAACCGGUAGCGGAAGAACUGUCUGGCUUAAAGCGGCAGAUUGACGCCAUGACAUCCGCUGUAUUUGGUAAGUGCUCUCUUGUGCAGUUUGUCUAA
rnacentral:rRNA from 1 species